ACGAGAAAGGGGCAACCCUGAGUAGAGUGGCGCACGGGUUGCGUAACACGUAGAUAACCUAGCCCUUUGGAGGGGGAUAACGUUCCGAAAGGAGCGCUAAUACCGCAUACAGCCGAGCUUGGUUUGCUGAGCUUGGGCAAAGGUAGGGACCGGCAACGGCCUAUCGCCAGAGGAGGGGUCUGCGGCCCAUCAGCUAGUUGGUAAGGUAAUGGCUUACCAAGGCAGAGACGGGUAGCUGGUCUGAGAGGAUGAUCAGCCACACUGGUACUGGAACACGGACCAGACUCCUACGGGAGGCAGCAGUGGGGAAUCUUGGUCAAUGGGCGCAAGCCUGAACCAGCGAUGCCGCGUGAGUGAUGAAGGCCUUCGGGUUGUAAAGCUCUGUGGGGAGGGACGAAAGAAUCGGUUCUAACAGGACCGAAGUUGACGGUACCUCCUUAGCAAGCACCGGCUAACUCUGUGCCAGCAGCCGCGGUAAGACAGAGGGUGCAAACGUUGCUCGGAAUCACUGGGCGUAAAGGGCGUGUAGGCGGGCAGGUAAGUCGGGCGUGAAAUCCCUGGGCUUCAACCCAGGAACUGCACUCGAAACUACUUGCCUUGAGUGCCGGAGAGGAAGCGGAAUUCUGGUGGUAAAGGUGAAAUUCGUAGAUAUCAGGAGACACCAGUGGCGAGGGGCUUUCUGACGUGACUGACGCUGAAACGCGAAGCGUGGGGAGCAACAGAUAAAACCUU
rnacentral:rRNA from 1 species